rnacentral:miRNA from 1 species
CGGCGGCGGAGGCGGCGCUAGCGGUUGUUCCUGCAUCUCCGCCACCUCCACCACUGCCUGUCCGGUCCUUCGGCGGCUCUGUUGUCCGGGAGGG